ACGAACGCUGGCGGCGUGCCUCAUACAUGCAAGUAGAACGCUGAAGGAGGAGCUUGCUUCUCCGGAUGAGUUGCGAACGGGUGAGUAACGCGUAGGUAACCUGCCUGGUAGCGGGGGAUAACUAUUGGAAACGAUAGCUAAUACCGCAUAAGAGUAGAUGUCGCAUGACAUUUGCUUAAAAGGUGCAACUGCACCACUACCAGAUGGACCUGCGUUGUAUUAGCUAGUUGGUGAGGUAACGGCUCACCAAGGCAACGAUACAUAGCCGACCUGAGAGGGUGAUCGGCCACACUGGGACUGAGACACGGCCCAGACUCCUACGGGAGGCAGCAGUAGGGAAUCUUCGGCAAUGGACGGAAGUCUGACCGAGCAACGCCGCGUGAGUGAAGAAGGUUUUCGGAUCGUAAAGCUCUGUUGUAAGAGAAGAACGAGUGUGAGAGUGGAAAGUUCACACUGUGACGGUAUCUUACCAGAAAGGGACGGCUAACUACGUG
rnacentral:rRNA from 1 species